AAGUCGUAACAAGGUUUCCGUAGGUGAACCUGCGGAAGGAUCAUUAACACUUUUUAUAAUUUAAAUUUCUUUCUUUCGUUAAAAAAGAGAAAGAAAUUUAUAUUUAAAACCCCACAAUUUUGGAUGAAUUUAAUUUAUUUAAUUUUUAUUUAUUAAUUUAAUUUUUUAUAACUAAAAUAUUUUAGACUAAAAUCUAUUUUAUAUAAAUUUAUUUAUAAUUUAAAAAACAACUCUUAACAACGGAUAUCUUGGCUCUC
rnacentral:misc_RNA from 1 species